GUAUCUAGGUCUAGGGCUCUUUCUUUCUUCUCUCUCCUUUUUCUCUUAAAAAAAAAUGAAACAAAAACAAAACUUGAAUCAUACAUUAGGGUUUGCACUGGUAUAUGCAAGGUAGAAGAUCUCUCUAUCCUGACCUAGUUGAACCCAAUCCUGAGAUUGAACGGUUGAUUCAUAUUAAAUCUGAAAAUCAGAUGGCUGGAGAUCC
rnacentral:lncRNA from 1 species